rnacentral:rRNA from 1 species
GACGGAGGCCCCGAGCGUUGUUCGGAAUCACUGGGCUUAAAGCGCGUGUAGGCGGAACGGUAAGUACUUUGUGAAAUUCCUGGCUUCAAUCUGGGAACUGCUUGGUAUACUGCCGUUCUUGAGGCAGGUAGGGGUCGCUGGAACGUUAGGUGGAGCGGUGAAAUGCGUAGAUAUCUAACGGAACGCCAGUGGCGAAAGCGGGCGACUGGGCCUGUCCUGACGCUGAGACGCGAAAGCGUAGGGAGCAAACGGG